rnacentral:misc_RNA from 1 species
GAUGAAGAACGCAGCGAAAUGCGAUAAGUAAUGCGAAUUGCAGAAUUCCAGUGAGUCAUCGAAUCUUUGAACGCACAUUGCGCCCUUUGGUAUUCCGAAGGGCAUGCCUGUUCGAGCGUCAUUAUCACCCCUCAAGCCCUCGGCUUGGUGUUGGACGGUUUGGUGGAGGCACCCUCGGGGGCUCCUGCCCCUCCCAAAGACAAUGACGGCGGCCUCGUUGGACCCCCGGUACACUGAGUUCUUCACGGGACACGUAUCGGACACAUGGGUUUACGGGACACGGUCUGCCUCCCCUCAGGGAGAAUCUUUCUAAGGUUGACCUCGGAUCAGGUAGGGAUACCCGCUGAACUUAAGCAUAUCAAUAAGCGGAGGA